CGCAGAGUUCUAUAAGGAAGAUGGACUUCAGAAAAGCAACUAGCACACCAAGCCCCAAUGUUAGGGCCAGAGAUGUGUUGUCUCAGUGGUAGCAGAAGCAAAUGUUAUUAGCUCCACUUUAUAGCUAAGGAAAAUUAAGCCCAGGAAAUGAGUCCAGUGGAAGGAAGGCUUUCAUUCCUUCAUAAAUAUUAAUUCAAUAAUUCAAUAGAGUCUCCAUACCUGCACUGUCUUAGGUGCAGGGAGAUACCAUGAUAAAAGGGCAGACAAUGUUGCUGCCCUCAAGGAGCUGACAUUCUAGUGGAGGAAGACAGAUGCAAAAAGGAAUGUAUGCCCACAUCACACAACUAAAUUGUGGCAUGAUGGAGUUCAACAAAAUAUGGAUACAGAGAGCAAGGUUUGAGGGUAAAUUUAACCAAGGUAGGGUAAUCAGAGGAGCCUGAUCUGAAAAGGCAGGAAUUAAAAUAAGCUCUAAAGGAUUAUUAGAAACUAGGGAGAGAGGAGCUGACUGGUAGAAAUGGGGAGUGUUUCAGGGAGAGCAAAAAGCCCAUUCAAAAACCUCAUGCAAAGAAGAGUUGGGCAAUUUGAAGAAUUGAAAUGAAACUCUAGGACUGGGCACGGAGAAUGUGAAGAAGUGAGGAGGGGUUGGAGCUGGAGAGAUAGGUGGGACUGGAUCCCAUACAACUUGAAAAGAACAGAGAAAGAUCCAGUGCAAAAACUCAUAGGAAAUGAUCAAUUCAUGCCAAGUGAUGAGAACUAGAGAAGAGAGAUGAGAGCAUUGUUCAUACACGAUGGUCUAGGUCUCCUACCCCAAGAGAACUUGCAACAAAGCCCAAAGUACAACAGCCACGUUUAAAGAGAAGAUUCCAUUUCAGCCAGACAACAUGAUUCAUCAUAUUUAUUUAAUAUUGUUAAUUUGAAUUUUAUUAGAUCUGUACUGAUGUUUGUAUUUAAUUUCUAAUUUGUUUUGGUUUCAUAAUUCACUAAAACAAUAAGCACAAAGAGUUUCUAUCUGACUUUAUAUAUUAACAUUUUAAUAAAAGUCUUUUAUAUACUCA
ensembl:lncRNA LINC03064 long intergenic non-protein coding RNA 3064